rnacentral:rRNA from 1 species
GAUGAACGCUGGCGGCGUGCCUAAUACAUGCAAGUCGAGCGAAGCGGGGACGGGUGCGUAACACGUGGAUAACCUCCUAUAAGACUGGGGUAACUUAGGGAAACCGGAGUUAUACCGGAUACUUUUAGUUGGAUCUGCGCUGCAUUAGCUAGUUGGUAAGGUAAGGGGUUACCAAGGCAACGAUGCCUAGCCGACCUGAGAGGGUGAUCGGCCACACUGGAACUGAGACACGGUCCAGACGCCUACGGGAGGCAGCAGUAGGGAAUCUUGCGCAAUGGGCGAAAGCCUGACGGAGCAACGCCGCGUGAGUGAUGAAGGUCUUCGGAUCGUAAAACUCUGUUAUUAGGGAAGCGGUACCUAAUCAGAAAGCCACGGCUAACGUCGUGCCAGCAGCCGCGGUAAUUC